AACAAACAUGGCAAAUGUCUGGCCAAAUGGGAGAAGCUAGGGAAGAUCUAUAUGAAAUGUUUCAUCUACCCAUGUCAAAUGUUGCCGUACAACAAAGCAUAUAUUUGAGGAACAUGAUCAGUAUUUGAAGCAACAAUUGGCACUUCUACUGGUCAUCUACAAGGUAUUCCACCAAAAGGAUUUAUCUAGAAUUGAUUGGCAACCAACCAGAUGCCCCUUAACCAUUCCAAUGGAUUUGGAAAUCUAGAUGCUUAGCUAAACAAAAAAAAUCUUCCGAUUACUGCUACUUGACAGGCUAAAUACCAGAGACUUGCUAGCGAGGAGACACUUCUAUAUUGAAUCAAGAAAAUGUAUCCUAUGUGAUGAUGAGCCAAAUGAACACCUGAAGAAUCUAUUCUUCUCAUGUGACUUCAGCCAAAAUUUCUGGAUGUCUAUUGGGAUUGAAUGGAACACUGACCUUAGCAUCAGUGAAAUGCUAGAGAAAGCAAAAAAUCAGAACAAACAUACAGUCAUUCAGAGAAUGCUUGAUUGCUGGAUGCUGGUCCAUUUCGAAGCACAGAAACAUCAUUACUUUUUACCACAAGACAAAGAGCUUAGAAUAUUGCAAUGCCUGUUUCAAGGAACACUUUGGCACAGUCAUGAGGAAAGCAAAACCAAGCCUGAAGGAAGGGAUGCAAACUUGGCUAGAUUAUUUGUAAAUCUAUCAUAGGCAUACACAUAGCCAUAUUCACAUUGUACAUCGACUUGUAACACUACACUUAUAUCAAUAAAAAGGUGUUAUAGUAGGGGUUUACCCUACUAUUUUUGCUCAAAACAAUAUAUAAGAAUUUUCCCAGUAGUGAAAGCAGAGAUGCAGGUAUGGUUGGUGAAGAAGAAAACGGUACAAGAGAAGUCGACAAUGCAACGUGCUUAAAUUUGACCUUCCCAUUUGAUAUUAAAAAUUUAAGUCUGCUUGGGAAUCACAGUGGUUGAUAAAUAGGUGGGAUGUGGGAAGAGAAACUUUAGUGCUUGUUGCAACGUGCUUGAGGUAUUUUUUGACAUCUACUGUAGCAGCGCGCGGGCAUUGUCCUAGUAUAACAUAACUAUAUAUAUAUAUGUGUGUGUGUGUGUGUGUGUGUGUGUGUGUGUGUGUGUGUGUUUUGAUUUUUAAAAUUGCAUAUGCGUCCCAGUUUUUGAUAUUUAAAUAAUACACUAUCGUCUAUUGCAAUGCACGGGCAAUUUCCAGUGAAGGACAAUUGGCCGGUGAUCUGAGUGUACAUGGUGCUUGUGAAUAUUGGGCCGCAGCGCCCUGUCCAGCCAUUCUUGAGCGAAAAUGGAGUGGAAGCUUGCUCCGAGAUACUAUCGUCAUUCUCCAAGAGAUGGUUUUGAAUUAAUUCAGGUUGCAUCAGUCACCAACAGAUAAGUCUCUGUCUAACUCUGCAUUGGUCUCAAGCCCUGCUUCAGGUUGAGACGGACUGUGCCGAGAUCAUCACCCUUGUAAAAGCUGGGCGGGGUGUUCGAUCCAGAAAUAUGCAUCAAGUUGCAGAGAUAGUGCAGCUGCUCAACAAACGCAACACUGAAAUCCGUAAGAUUAGUCGUGGGCAGAAUAAAGCUGGGCAUGCAAUGGCGGCAAUUGGUCGUGGAUAGCAGGACAUAGCUUCUUGGCUUGCACAUGCUCGCUCCCCAGAAGAUUAGCAUUAUCAUUACCAUUACCAAUGAUUGUAAAACUGUUAUUGCCUGAGUAAUGAAAUGCGCUCCCCCUACCCCCUGCGAGCGGGAAAAAAGCGCGCGACCGCCCCAAAUGAAACCUGCAUAGUUGAGUAAAAGAAAAUCAAAAUCACAAAUUCAGUCAAAUAUCAGGUGACUAUGCACUAGCCAGACUGUCGGUGCAAGGCACUGUGUCUUGUUUAUAAAUCAUAGGUGCCAAAUACAUAAUUUAAUACCAAGCUAUCAAGAUGACACAUUUUCUUAUACACUAUCUAUCUUGUUACGGAAUACAACUAAUUAAUUUCUCAUGUAAUUUUGGAGCGAAUAAAUGCCAUAAUGUUAUUAUGAAAAACUAAUUAAUUCCGUUUGUAAAUAAUAUUGGGAGCCAAUAAAAUGUCAUAAUGUUAUUAUGAAAAACUAAUUAUUUUUGUAUGGUUAUUUUUAGGAGGCAAUAAAUGCCCUAAUUAUGUAUAUGGAAUACUAAUAAACUCCUUACGGAUAUAUUUGUAGUCUGUCAAUCGAUACCUACAGGAUAUUCCAUGAUAUGCGUAUUAUCCGAGGAUCCUUAUUCAUUAUGGAGAAUUAUAAAUAGGAAACACGCCAAAGCAGGAAUGAAUAAAAUGGCAAACAAUGAUACUCCAAGAAUCGGCCAUGCUUCUAUAUAAACAGUGGAAGGAACCAGCAAAGUAGUACAAGUCUACAACCAAAAGGACAUAGGAGAAGAGAACAAUAAACAAUUUCGUUAUGGCUCUAAUCCGGAUCAACACUGGUGUUUUGUGCUUGAUGGCACUUUUGAUGGUUUCAACCACUUUAUUGUCGAGUGAAGCGUCAGGGAGAACGAUAGGUACAUUUCUAUUUACUAGAGCUUAUCAACUGUAGUAUAUUGGAAUUUGUGGUUUCCUGGAGCUACAUAAAAAUUUGAUUCUAUUGCAUCAUUCUAUGUUGCCAAUGAUAUGAAUGUUUCUCAUGAAGUUUGAUUGUUCAAGUUAAGAUAUGCAAGUACUAUUGCAAGAGAAAAGAAGAAUUAAUAUCAUGUAGAGAAGUGUUUCAACCAUGCCUAAUAGAGUGAGGUGUUUAGUUAAGACAGGCAAGUAUCUUUUUCCUCAUACACGCAAAACAUGGAUAUAAAAAUAUUUUUCCUCAUAGUGCAAACUUGUGCAGUCGCGCUCGUCCCCUUAUUCGAAAGUUAUUAUGCCUCAUAGUACUUUAAACCUAGUGUUAUUUAACAAUGGCAUGGAAGACAAGAGGUGUUUUCCUUGUGAUUUUAUGAUCACCAUUACAAUUCUGUCGUGGUACAUAUGGUUUCCAUAGUACAUAAUAAUUAUAUACCAGCCAAUAGCUAUUCUUCCCGUGUUUGUAUUAGCAUUCCACUA